GAUGAACGCUAGCGGCAGGCCUAACACAUGCAAGUCGAGGGGUAGAGUUAGCUUGCUAACUUGAGACCGGCGCACGGGUGCGUAACGCGUAUGCAAUCUACCUUGUACAGAGGGAUAGCCCAGAGAAAUUUGGAUUAAUACCUCAUAGUAUCUUUACCUGGCAUCGGGUAAUUAUUAAAGUUCCAACGGUACAAGAUGAGCAUGCGUCCCAUUAGUUAGUUGGUAAGGUAACGGCUUACCAAGACAAUGAUGGGUAGGGGUCCUGAGAGGGAGAUCCCCCACACUGGUACUGAGACACGGACCAGACUCCUACGGGAGGCAGCAGUGAGGAAUAUUGGUCAAUGGACGCAAGUCUGAACCAGCCAUGCCGCGUGCAGGAAGACGGUCCUAUGGAUUGUAAACUGCUUUUAUACAGGAAGAAACACCCCCUCGUGAGGGGCUUGACGGUACCGUAAGAAUAAGGAUCGGCUAACUCCGUGCCAGCAGCCGCGGUAAAGUGACU
rnacentral:rRNA from 1 species